rnacentral:rRNA from 1 species
GGGUGAACCUGCGGAGGGAUCAUUACCAGAGUGCCCUAGGCUCUCCAACCCAUUGUGAACUUACCAAACGUUCCCUCGGCGGGCUCAGCGCGCGGUGGCCUCCGGGCCUCCGGGCGUCCGCCGGGGAAAACCAAACCCUGAUUUAAUCGUAUUUCUCUGAGGGGCGAAAGCCCGAAAACAAAAUGAAUCAAAACUUUCAACAACGGAUCUCUUGGCUCUGGCAUCGAUGAAGAACGCAGCGAAAUGCGAUAAGUAAUGUGAAUUGCAGAAUUCAGUGAAUCAUCGAAUCUUUGAACGCACAUUGCGCCCGCCGGCACUCCGGCGGGCAUGCCUGUCCGAGCGUCAUUUCAACCCUCAGGCCCACCCUUCCGGGGGAGCGGGCCUGGUGCUGGGGAUCGGCGGCCCUCGCGGCCCCCGUCCCUCAAAUACAGUGGCGGUCGCGCCGCAGCCUCCCCUGCGUAGUAGCACAACCUCGCACCGGAGAGCGGAACGACCACGCCGUGAAACCCCCAAUUUUUUAAGGUUGACCUCGGAUCAGGUAGGAAUACCACGCUGAACUUAAGCAUAUCAUAA